CAGUAGCCGCGGUAAUACAGAGGGUGCGAGCGUUAAUCGGAUUUACUGGGCGUAAAGCGUGCGUAGGCGGCUUUUUAAGUCGGAUGUGAAAUCCCUGAGCUUAACUUAGGAAUUGCAUUCGAUACUGGGAAGCUAGAGUAUGGGAGAGGAUGUUAGAAUUCCAGGUGUAGCGGUGAAAUGCGUAGAGAUCUGGAGGAAUACCGAUGGCGAAGGCAGCCAUCUGGCCUAAUACUGACGCUGAGGUACGAAAGCAUGGGGAGCAAACAGGAUUAGAUACCCGCGUAGUCCCUGUCUCUUAUAC
rnacentral:rRNA from 1 species